AAGUCUACGUUAACUUUCAAAGCAAGGGUUUUUAUUGUUUGUUUUUAAUUGCCGUUUUAAAUUAUUUUAGAGUGCUGUUAAAUUUAAUUGUACAGUACCCUGCCUAGGACCUGUAUCCUGUCACGUUAUUUUUAUAUAUAAUUUUUGUAUAUUUUUAUCCCGUUUUAUUUUAUGGUGUUUGUAGCUAUGCAACUUUCAUUUGUUUUCUGCGAACUGCUCCUUUAAAUUUGAAUUCUUUCUACUAAGUGCUCGGAGCUGUGAGACAAUUCCAGACAGAAAAUUUUAAAGAGGGAAGGACUCACACUGUGCUCUCUUUCUUUCUGUCCCCUGAGACACUUUUUUCCCCCUUAAUCUAAAAUUAAGCAUCUGGACUGGAAGCACACAUUGCUACUUUGUGUGUGGAAAAUAUAACACAAAGGAUACCAAAGCGCUAUCCAUGGAGGAGUCAUUCACCAGCUAAUGCAAUCCAGCCACUUCUAGAGUGGAACACAGCAACUUUGUAGCUGUAUGCAGCAAGAGAACAAAACAGUUUCAGUUAGGAGGUGAAGAAGAAUACUAAUCCUAAUUGCAGUUCAGGAGAAUUUAGGUGGCUUCUCUGAAGACUUCAGAUUCUGUCAUUUUGCUGAUCAAGAGGCUGCAUAAUGUAUAUCACUACUGUCUUGUGGGAACAGCUGUUCUACUGGAAAUAGAUCUGAAGACAUAUAUCCUUGUGUGUAUUGAGGAAUAUCCCUGAUUACAUACACCAAAACUUUAUAUCAAGCAAAAAGAAAAUGGUUCUCAAAACAAAAGGAAAGAGAAGAUUUCUCUUGGGUUUAUGAAGAAAACUGCUUACAAGUACAAGCCAAUCUGGAGAAAGAGAACAAAGGAACAAUGGCUUUGCAGAAAUGUUAUACUACAGUCUGAUUGAAAAAGUUUCACUGAAAAAUUUACGGAAGAAUUCUGAACAAGAGCUGGAAAAGAUCAACUAGCAGCUGGAAGGCAAAAAUAGCUGUUGGGAGAGGAGGAACUCUCCCUUAGGCAUGAAUGCUUUAAAACACAGAAAAAGAAAUUCAUACAUUAGCAUGCAGUCAUCUGGUAUGUGCCAUUAUGGAAAACUAUCAUGUGCUAUUUAUUAACCCAAUGAUGACUGCUCUGUGCUGUAGCAUUUAACAUACUUGUCAUGAAGAUAGUUUUGAUAGGAAAAGUGUCAUACCCAGCUGGCACUGGGUAAAGUGACAUAGGCUUUGUCUACACUGGAAAGUUUUAUCAGUUGUACAGGUAUCGUUAUAUUAGUAUAACCCCCUUUGUGGACACACUUAUUCCAGACAGUAUAAGAGUACACUGUUUCAAUUUAAGCUUAACCCCUACCCAAGAGACAUAAACAAAACAAAAAAAAAGCCCUCUUGAUUUACACUUAAAAGUCAGGUCAAGGUAUCUGUGUUGGUCAGGGGUUGGGAAAACCACACCCCUCACUUACACAGCUAUACCAACCUAACCCCCAGUGUAGAUGCAGCUUUGGCGAUGGAUGAAUGCUUCGGCGAUGGAUGAAUGCUUCCAUCAACACAGGUAACUUUGAGGAGAUGGCAUUCAUGUACCAAUGGAAAAUUCCCUUCCAUCAGUGUAGGCUCUGUCUGCACUAUAGGUUAUGCUAGCACCAUAGCAACACCAACAUUGUUUUGCCUGUAUAGUCUGUGUAGUGUGUUGAGGCAGCCUUAUACUGGAAUA